rnacentral:rRNA from 1 species
GACGGGGGGGGGCAAGCGUUGUUCGGAAUUAUUGGGCGUAAAGGGCUCGUAGGCGGACCUGUAAGUUUGACGUGAAAUCUCCACCGCUCACCGGGGAGGGGCCGUUGAAUACUGCAGGUCUGGAGUUCGGCAGAGGACCAUGGAAUUCCAGGUGUAGCGGUGAAAUGCGCAGAUAUCAGGAGGAACACCGGUGGCGAAGGCAGCUCGCUGGGACGGUACUGACGCUAAGGCGCGAAAGCGUGGGGAGCGAACAGGA